CAAAACUCGAGAGCACUUCCUUCGAAUUGGAAUCGCUAUGAUGAUGAUGAUUCCGGUUUGGCAUCUGAAAACGCUCGGGAAAGCUCAAGUCAGUUGACUGAGUUUGUGAUGCCGAAAAGUAAAGGACGUUGGUUCGAUGCUUGCUGCCAAUGGGGCAAGGCAUGCUCUCGUGGAUUGCUGAUGAUAGUUUCGAGUUUGAAGACGACGUGAGCAUCACUCCUCAGGUGAUUUUGUUAUGACUUGAACAGAUGCCCUUGCCGAACACCUUGCAAAAGCAAAGCUGUUGGAGAGGUUAUAUCUACAAUCAGACCUUUUACCCCUGGAGCUGUUGGACGAGGCACGUGGCGAAGACAAAGAAGAACCAAAUCCUUCACCACAAGCAACCAACAGAAGUAUUUCGCCAGAACCAUUUUCUGAACAUUCUACAGAUUCCACUUCUGGGAAGCCGUCCAAAUUCUAGGCAAGUGCUGCAGAAGCAGAACUCGUCGAGCUUCUGAAUUCAUUCAGUGAUACUGCAGUUCCCAAGGAACAAACAAUCCCGUUGUCUGGAGAUGCUGUUGAUAUUCUUCGGGAGGAAACAUCGUGGAUCGUAUCAUCAAAGGCAAACACUGAAUCUGUAUCAUCAAGUAAGAAUCCUAUUUCUAAAUCUGAAAUUGUGGAUGAUUUUGAUUCAUGGUUAGAUACUAUUUAAAAUUUAUUUACUACUAAAA